AAAAACAUUUUUGCCACACAGCUAAAGUCAAACCUGUAUCCAUUCACAUUUUAGAAAUGUCCUAGGUUUCUAUAGGUUCUUCUCUGAAGUUUCAAAAGCUGCCUUGCCCCUUUUCUACCAUCCUUUGCCAUUACUAGCCAAAGAGGUCUUAGUUCCUGCUGUCUUUUUCUGUUCCUCCUCAGUAACUAAUUUUUGCUUCAGAUUUCUGCUUUUCUACCAUGGUGUCCAAGAUAAGGCUUUGCUUUGACUGAAUCCCAACCUGGAAAAAGCCAUUAUCUCCAGCCUCAACACUGCCACAAGGGGGCAUAACUGAAUCAGAGGAUAUACUCUAUCUGAGACAAGGUAUCAAAGGGAUGCCUUCCGGUACUACUAACUCAAUUCAGUUCAUUCAUCAUCAGCAUACAUGUAAUUCAUAUAUAGCACAACUGUCAAGUUACGGAAUAUAAUGCUGACAAGUUGUGUUUUUUUUUUUUUUUUUUGAGAUGGAGUCUCACUCUGUCACCCGGGCUGGAGUGCAGUGGCGUGAUCUCGGCUUACUGUAACCUCCACCUCGAGGAUUCAGGCAAUUCUCCUGCCUCAGCCUCCCGAGUAGCUGCGAUUACAGGUGCCUGCCACUACGCCUGGCUAAUUUUUGUAUUUUCAGUAGAGACGGGGUUUCACCAUGUUGGCCAGGCUGGUCUCGAACUCCUAACCUCAGAUGAUCUGCCCACCUCAGCCUCCCAAAGUGCUGGGAUUACAGGCAUGAGCCAC
rnacentral:lncRNA from 10 species